GGGAGAAGUGUGAGCUCGGCCUUCGCGUCCUGGAGGCUCUGGCGGCGUCGGGGUUGCGGUCGGUGCGUUUCGCCCUGGAGGUCCCCGGCCUGCAAAGCAUCACCGCCAACGACUUCUCCGCCAAGGCGGCGGCGCUGAUCGGCAGGAACGCCGAGUUCAACGGGGUGGGCCACCUGCUGCGGGCCAGCUGCCGGGACGCCAGCAUGCUGAUGUACGAGAUGCGGGGGAAGAAGGAGCGCUACGACGUGAUCGACCUGGACCCGUACGGCAGCCCCGCCUGCUUCCUGGACGCCGCCGUGCAGGCCGUCGGCGAGGGAGGGCUGCUGUGCAUCACGUGCACCGACAUGGCGGUGAUGGCGGGAAACAGCGGAGAGACCUGCUACAGCAAAUACGGCUCCGUCUCCAUUAAAGCCAAGUACUGCCAUGAGAUGG